rnacentral:tRNA from 1 species
GCGGCUCAGUGGUUGAGUAUCUGUUUUGCACACAGAAGGUCCCUGGUCCAAUCCCCAGUACCAGCACCA